UGGGGAAUAUUGGACAAUGGACCAAAAGUCUGAUCCAGCAAUUCUGUGUGCACGAUGACGUUUUUCGGAAUGUAAAGUGCUUUCAGUUGGGAAGAAAAAAAUGACGGUACCAACAGAAGAAGUGACAGCUAAAUACGUGCCAGCAGCCGCGGUAAUACGUAUGUCACAAGCGUUAUCCGGAUUUAUUGGGCGUAAAGCGCGUCUAGGUGGUUAUGUAAGUCUGAUGUGAAAAUGCAGGGCUCAACUCUGUAUUGCGUUGGAAACUGCAUGACUAGAGUACUGGAGAGGUAAGCGGAACUACAAGUGUAGAGGUGAAAUUCGUAGAUAUUUGUAGGAAUGCCGAUGGGGAAGCCAGCUUACUGGACAGAUACUGACGCUAAAGCGCGAAAGCGUGGGUAGCAAACAGGAUUAGAUACCCUGGUAGUCCACGCCGUAAACGAUGAUUACUAGGUGUUGGGGGUCGAACCUCAGCGCCCAAGCUAACGCGAUAAGUAAUCCGCCUGGGGAGUACGUACGCAAGUAUG
rnacentral:rRNA from 1 species